CGCUUCCGUUUUGGGGCGGGAGCUGAGGAGGCCUCGUGACCGCUGAGCCAAAACGCCUAUGGGGCCUGGUGCCCCUCACCCUCUUGCUCCCUUCCCCUUUCUCCUACCCCUUCCCCCACCUAUGUCUCCCCUCCUCCUAGCUCUCCCCUCUGAGCCCCACACCCUUCCCUUUCCCUCCUCUUCCCCCUCCUCCUCUAUCGGGACCAUCAUCAUGGUUGGUCACAGUGAGUAGGACUCCAGCCCACCCAGGAACCCCAGAGCCCUUACAACGGUCCACAUGCCCCGCCACCACCUUCUAGACCCUCAUCUUCCCAGUCCAUCUCCAGCCUCACUGUCCCUGGAAGAAGGGCCGCAGGCUCCAGCCCCAGGGCCUUCAUACACCCUGCACAGGCAAUUCUGUUCUCCCAGGUAUCCGCCUGGCCCUUCGUAACGUUGGUGCCACCAUCACCCUAUGACUGAGGACCCCCUGGCAGGUUCACGUUCAUUUGCGUCCUUGCAUUCUGACCAUGUGCUCCAAGUGGGAUGCCAGCCCUUGAGGUGGGGCCCCCCCACGCGUUCUCAGCUCUAGAACGUGGCCUGGCAGGGAAUGCCUGCUCACAGUAAAUAGUCUAGAAUGAAUGACUGAGAAGCCUUCUAGGUGCUGGCUCCUGUCCUGAGUGCUUUGCACACAAUGGCUCCAUUUUACACCAAGAAAACUGGGCGGUGGCUCACGCCUGUAAUCCCAGCACUUCGGGAGGCCUAGCUCCCGAGAGACAGAAGCUGACCCUGUUUUGCUUAUUGAUAUAUCUCCAUCACCUGGAAAAAUGCCUGGCACAUAGCAGAGUCCUUUCGUGAUCAAAGACGGAGAACAACUGCAGGCAAAGACCUGGAGGAGUUGGAAGCCUUGUGAGGCGCUUAUGGGAUUGGAAAAUGGUGCAGCCUCAAAAGGAUAAAAAAAGCUCCACAGGGCAGGAAUCUGCCUGUUUCGUCCAUUGCUGUGCCCCCGGCUCCUGAACAGCACGUGGCCCACAGUAGGCCCUUGGUCAGUGUGUGUGGAUGAACCACGUCUACCAGAGUCCAAGGCAAGGACACAGAGAGAAGCUGCCAUCUGUGAACCAGGACGCAGGGCCUCACCGUCACCAAAUCUGCUGGCGCCUUGAUCUUGGACUUCCCAACCUCCAGAAAUGAGAGAAAUAGAUGUCCGUUGUCUGGAUAUAAGAAGAAAUAUCAGGCUGGUCACGGUGGCUCACGCCUGUGAUCUCAGCACUUUGGGAGGCUGAAGCAGGAGGAUAACUUGAGCUCAGGAGUUCAAGACCAACCCUGGCAACACAGUGAGACCCUAUUUCAAAAAUAACUUUUUCUAAUUUAAAAGAAAGGAGAAGUGGGGGGUGGUUCAUGGGUAAAAAAAAAAAAUCAUUUAAAAGAAUGACUAAGACCUACUGUUUGCACAACGGGGUGACUAGAGUCAAUAAUAACUUAAUUGUACAUAGUAAAAUAACUAAAAGAGUAGACUUGGAGGCCAGGUGCGGUGGCUCACGCCUGUAAUCCCAGCACUUUGGGAGGCCGAGGCGGGCAGAUCACAAGGUCAGGAAUUCGAGACCAGCCUGGCCAACAUGGUGAAAUCCUGUCUCUACUAAAAAUACAAAAAUUUUAGCUAGGCGUGGUGGCGGGUGCCUGUAUUCCCAGCUACUCAGGAGGCUGAGGCAGGAGAAUCACUUGAGUCUGAGCGGCAGAGGUUGCAGUGAGCCGAGAUCGCUCCAUUGCACUCCAGCCUGGGCAACAAGAGCGAAACUCCACCUCAAAAAAAAAAAUGGAGUAGAAUAGGAUUGUUUGUAACACAAAGGAUGAAUGCUUGAGGGGAUGAACACCCCAUUCUCCAUCACAUGAUUAUUACCAUUUGCUUGCCCAUAUCAAAACAUGUAUCCCAUAAAUAGAUACACCUACCGUGUACCCACAAAAAUUUUAAAAAUUAAAAAGAUGAUCCACUCAGAGGUCAAAUACGAGAUACAUGCCGAUGGGGACAAGUAAUACCUCGGAGGCGUUUGUGAGGAUGAAAUUAAACAAGUGUGAUGGUAGAUACCAUUGGUUGCCUUUCCGAAAUUCAUUCUUUCUCACCCCUUCUUUCUUGACGGCAGAGGGUCUAUCUGCUUCCCGGCAGCCACAGAUGCUCAAAGAGGGGGACCUCAUUCCCCCAUCUGGAAGAAAUCCUGAUUAUUCUCAGCCAUCUUGGUAAUACAGUUCCUCUCACUACGAUUGGCUUAGGGGUGGACAUGCGAGCAAAUGCUGGUCAAAAACACGAGAAGGGGUGAGCUGGGGGAAUUCUUGGAAAGGUUUCAUUGCUGAUAAAAAUGGACCAAGGAAGAGAUGCUUCCUGCAUGUGUCCUGUUGGAUGAGAUACCCAGACAGAGGCAGCCACUGUGCCCUGCAGAAAAUGCCAGAGCAGAGAGAUGCAGAGAACCUGGCUCUUCAGGGCUCCCCUUGACAUUGAAACUGAGAGCCGGCUGGGCGCAGUGGCUCACGCAUGUAACCCCAGCACUUUGGGAGGCCAAGGCAGAAGGAUUGCUUGAGGCCAGUAGCUCAAGACCAACCUGGCCAACAUAGUAAGACCCUGUCUGUGUUUUUAAAAUAAAAAUAUAAAUAAAUAAAAUUUAAAAAGAAAUUGAGAACGCCAGUCCCCAUGGCUCAUGCAUGUAAUCCCAGCACUUUGGGAGGCCAAGGUGGAAAUAUUGCUUGAGGCCAGUAGUUCAAGUCCAGUCUGGCCAAUAUAGUGAGACCCUGUCUCUAUUUUAAAAAUAAAAAGCCUGGGCACAGUGUCUCACGCCUGUAAUCUUAGCACUUUGGGAGGCCAAGGCAGGUGGAUCACCCAAGGUCAGGAGUUCAAGACCAGUCUAGCCAACAUAGCUAAACCCCAUCUCUACUAAAAAUACAAACAUUAGCCAGGCAUGGUGGCACAUAUCUGUAAUCCCAGCUACUUGGGAGGCUGAGACAGGAGAAUCGCUUGAACCCGGGAGGUGGAGGUUGCAGUGAGCCAAGAUCACGCAAUUGCACUGCAGCCUGGGCGACAGAGUGAGACCCCAUCUCAAAAAAAAGAAUGAAAUCAAGGUGGCGGGCGCCUGUAGUCCCAGCUACUCGGAGAGGCUGAGGCAGGAGAAUGGCGUGAACCCGGGAGGCGGAGCUUGCAGUGAGCCGAGAUUGCGCCACUGAACUCCAGCCUGGGCGACAAAGCGAGACUCUGUCUCAAAAAAAAAAAAAAAAAA